rnacentral:rRNA from 1 species
UACGAAGGGUGCAAGCGUUACUCGGAAUUACUGGCGUAAAGCGCGCGUAGGCGGGUUGGUAAGUCCGCUGUGAAAGCCCGGAGCUUAACUCCGGAGGGUCGGUGGAUACUGCCAGUCUUGAAGGUGCUAGGGGGAGAUGGAAUUACCGGUGUAGCGGUGAAAUGCGUAGAUAUCGGUAGGAACACCAGUGGCGAAGGCGGUCCUG